AUUGAACGCUGGCGGAAUGCUUUACACAUGCAAGUCGAGCGGCAGCGCGGCCUUCGGGCUGGCGGCGAGCGGCGAACGGGUGAGUAAUGCAUCGGAACAUGCCCAGUCGUGGGGGAUAACACUUCGAAAGAAGUGCUAAUACCGCAUACGUCCUGAGGGGGAAAGCGGGGGUUGCAAAGCCCCGGCCGGUUGGAAGGGCCGAUGUCAGAUUAGCUAGUUGGUGGGGUAAAGGCCUACCAAGGCGACGAUCUGUAGCUGGUCUGAGAGGAUGAUCAGCCACACUGGGACUGAGACACGGCCCAGACUCCUACGGGAGGCAGCAGUGGGGAAUUUUGGACAAUGGGGGCAACCCUGAUCCAGCCAUUCCGCGUGAGUGAAGAAGGCCUUCGGGUUGUAAAGCUCUUUCGGCAGGAACGAAACGGUGGGCUCUAACAUAGUCCGCUAAUGACGGUACCUGAAGAAGAAGCACCGGCUAACUACGUG
rnacentral:rRNA from 1 species